rnacentral:lncRNA from 1 species
GAGAGAGAGAGAGAGAGAGUGAGAGUGAGUGGAGGUUUUGUGUUUGUCUCUCAACUCUCAAGUUCGUCCCUCUGUCCUCUCUUUCUUUCUCCUCUCGAGGGUUAGUAGAGAACUAACAACUUCAUAUCGAUUACAGAGAAGAGAGAAGAGAGAAACUCUAACUUAAUCCUCUGAGAAUCUCACCGGAGAAGAAGCUAGGGUUUUGGCUAAUGCGCGAAUCCUCUCUCCAAAAUUGACAACAUGGAUUCGGAUUCGUCUAUGGCACCAGAGGAGAACGAUCAAGAUCCCGCGUCUCUCAAUCACCAACCUCCACCUCAAGAUUCUCCCUC